ensembl:lncRNA
UUUUUUUAGGGAGAAACCAGGCUGAUUUGGUUAAGGGGGGGGCCACAAUAAUUUAGUGGUGGGGUCCAUCGCCAUGGUGGGGACAGGGGAUCCCCGGUGACACCGGAGGGGGUGGCAGUGGCUCUGCAGGGACAGGGACGAGGGCGCUGCGGUGUCGAGGACGAAGGAUCUCUGGUGACGCCGACGAAGGAGCUGCGGUGACGAAGAUGAUGGAGGACGAAGGAGCCGUGGUGACAAUGGUUCUCCGGUGACCGCAAUGGUGAAGGACGAGGAGUCUCCGGUGACAGUGACAACUGAGGAGCUACGAUGCUUCUUGGGUGACGAGGACGAAGGCUCUCCAUGAUGAGGGACAAGGGCUCUCUGGUGACAUUGGAGGAGGACGCGGCGCUCCAGUGACAACGAUGACGGACAAGGACGAGGGCUCUCCGGUGACACUGGAAAAGGACGAAGAAGAGGGUUCUCCGGUGAUGAUGAUGGACGACGGCUCUCCGGUGACGCUAGAGAAGAACAAGGAAGAGGGCUCUCCGGCGACGCCGGAGAAGGACGAGGGCUCUCCGGCGACGAAGACAACGGAAGGACGAGGGCUCUCCGGCGACGCCGGACAGGAAAGGGAGGGCUCUGCGGCGGCUUUCAAGCCUCCUCUUCGGCCUCUUCACCGAAGUCCUCCUCUUCCUCGGCCGUGGCGUCCUGGUACUGCUGGUACUCGGAGACCAGGUCGUUCAUGUUGCUCUCGGCCUCGGUGAACUCCAUCUCGUCCAUGCCCUCGCCCGUGUACCAGUGAAGGAAGGCCUUGCGGCGAAACAUGGCUGUGAACUGCUCCGAGAUGCGCUUGAAGAGCUCCUGGAUGGCCGUGCUGUUGCCGAUGAAGGUGACGGCCAUCUUCAAGCCCCGGGGCGGGAUGUCGCACACAGCCGUCUUCACGUUGUUGGGGAUCCACUCGACGAAGUAGGAGCUGUUCUUGUUCUGCACGUUGAGCAUCUGUUCGUCCACCUCCUUCAUGGACAUGCGGCCCCGGAAGACGGCGGCCACCGUGAGGUAGCGCCCGUGUCGAGGGUCGCAGGCGGCCAUCAUGUUCUUGGCGUCGAAGACCUGCUGGGUGAGCUCGGGGACGGUGAGGGCCCGGUACUGCUGGCUGCCGCGUGACGUCAAGGGGGCGAAGCCGGGCAUGAAGAAGUGGAGACGAGGGAAGGGCACCAUGUUGACCGCCAGCUUGCGCAGGUCGGCGUUGAGCUGCCCGGGGAAGCGGAGGCAGGUGGUGACGCCGCUCAUGGUGGCCGACACCAGGUGGUUGAGGUCUCCGUAGGUGGGAGUGGUCAGCUUGAGGGUACGGAAGCAGAUGUCAUAGAGGGCUUCGUUGUCGAUGCAGUAGGUCUCGUCCGUGUUCUCCACCAGCUGGUGCACCGACAGCGUGGCGUUGUAGGGUUCCACCACCGUGUCCGAGACCUUGGGUGAAGGCACCACGCUGAAGGUGUUCAUGAUGCGGUCGGGAUACUCCUCGCGGAUCUUGGAGAUGAGCAGGGUGCCCAUGCCCGAGCCGGUGCCACCACCCAGCGAGUGGGUCAGCUGGAAGCCCUGCAGGCAGUCGCAGCUCUCCGCCUCUUUGCGCACCACGUCCAGCACCGAGUCCACCAGCUCCGCCCCCUCCGUGUAGUGGCCCUUGGCCCAGUUGUUGCCGGCGCCGCUCUGGCCUGGUGGUGGGUUGGGGACACGGGUUAGGACCGGGCCGUGGGGACGCCCGGGGAG